CGAACGCUGGCGGCAGGCCUAAUACAUGCAAGUCGAACGGCUCUUCGGAGCAGUGGCGGACGGGUGAGUAACGCGUGGGAAUGUGCCCUAGGUACGGAACAACACAGGGAAACUUGUGCUAAUACCGUAUGUGCCCUCGGGGGAAAGAUUUAUCGCCUUUGGAGCAGCCCGCGUUGGAUUAGGUAGUUGGUGAGGUAAAGGCUCACCAAGCCGACGAUCCAUAGCUGGUCUGAGAGGAUGACCAGCCACACUGGGACUGAGACACGGCCCAGACUCCUACGGGAGGCAGCAGUAGGGAAUCUUGCGCAAUGGGCGAAAGCCUGACGCAGCCAUGCCGCGUGUAUGAUGAAGGUCUUAGGAUUGUAAAAUACUUUCACCGGGGAAGAUAAUGACGGUACCCGGAGAAGAAGCCCCGGCUAACUUCGUGCCAGCCGCCGCGGUAA
rnacentral:rRNA from 1 species